rnacentral:rRNA from 1 species
GAGUUUGAUCCUGGCUCAGAUUGAACGCUGGCGGCAUGCCUUACACAUGCAAGUCGAACGGCAGCACGGGAGCAAUCCUGGUGGCGAGUGGCGAACGGGUGAGUAAUGUAUCGGAACGUGCCCAGUCGUGGGGGAUAACGCAGCGAAAGCUGUGCUAAUACCGCAUACGAUCUAUGGAUGAAAGCGGGGGAUCGCAAGACCUCGCGCGAAUGGAGCGGCCGAUAUCAGAUUAGCUAGUUGGUGGGGUAAAGGCUCACCAAGGCGACGAUCUGUAGCUGGUCUGAGAGGACGACCAGCCACACUGGAACUGAGACACGGUCCAGACUCCUACGGGAGGCAGCAGUGGGGAAUUUUGGACAAUGGGCGCAAGCCUGAUCCAGCAAUGCCGCGUGCAGGAUGAAGGCCUUCGGGUUGUAAACUGCUUUUGUACGGAGCGAAAAGGCUUUCUCUAAUACAGGGGGCUCAUGACGGUACCGUAAGAAUAAGCACCGGCUAACUACGUGCCAGCAGCCGCGGUAAUACGUAGGGUGCGAGCGUUAAUCGGAAUUACUGGGCGUAAAGCGUGCGCAGGCGGUUAUGUAAGACAGAUGUGA